GAUGAACGCUGGCGGCAGGCUUAAUACAUGCAAGUUGAACGGUAACAUGUUGUAGCAAUACGAUGAUGACGAGUGGCGCACGGGUGCGUAACACGUGUGUAACCUACCUUAUACAGGAACAUAACGUUGAGAAAUCGGCGCUAACAUUCCAUAAUAUUAUUUGUAGGCAUCUAUGAAUAAUUAAAACUCCGGUGGUAUAAGAUGGGCACGCGUUCCAUUAGCUAGUUGGUAAGGUAACGGCUUACCAAGGCAACGAUGGAUAGGGGUUCUGAGAGGAUAAUCCCCCACACUGGAACCGAGACACGGUCCAGACUCCUACGGGAGGCAGCAGUCGAGAAUAGUCUACAAUGGUCGGAAGACUGAUAGUGCGACGCCGCGUGAACGAUGAAUCCCUUCGGGGUGUAAAGUUCUUUUAUAUGUGAGCAGUGCUUCUUAUAUUAACAGUAUGGGGAGAGAGAUAUUAGCAUAUGAAUAAGCAACGGCUAACU
rnacentral:rRNA from 1 species